rnacentral:rRNA from 1 species
GUGCCAGCAGCCGCGGUAAUACGUAGGGGGCAAGCGUUGUCCGGAAUCAUUGGGCGUAAAGCGCGCGUAGGCGGCCCGGUAAGUCCGCUGUAAAAGUCCAGGGCUCAACCCUGGAAAGCCGGUGGAUACUGUCGGGCUAGAGUCCGGAAGAGGCGAGUGGAAUUCCUGGUGUAGCGGUGGAAUGCGCAGAUAUCAGGAGGAACACCGAUGGCGAAGGCAGCUCGCUGGGACGGUACUGACGCUGAGGCGCGAAAGCGUGGGGAGCGAACAGGAUUAGAUACCCUGGUAGUCC